UAUAGUCAGCCAGAAGCUGAUGCCGAAGAGAUUAAUCUUGGGGCUGUAGGGGUUGUCGAAGAGAAUCAACCAAUUGCAAACGAGGCAGAACCCAUAGCUAAUGGAGAACCUGCAAUCGGCAAACUCGCUCCAAUAGAUGAGCAGACCCCUCUUCGUAAUGACAAUGAUGGGCUUGACUCAGCACUGACACCUAGUGGGAACGGAAAGGCAGAGGUGCCGCAGGAACCUGAUGAAGAAAAAGUAGAAAAAACCAAAUCACCCGAAGAAGAAAAACUUGUCAAAACAGAAGAGAAUGGAGAAAAGGCAUGAUGAUGUCACAAGCACUACUGUCAUGAUGUCACUAUCAUAUUUAUUAUGACUUCAUAAAUGCACUAAGUUUUAUGUGUCAUGUACAUAGUGACACAACAGAGACUAAUCAGAGAGCUGAAAACUAACAUGACAUCUUUAUUUAUUUCCGUUGCCAUAGCAACUUAUUAUUUCUGCAUGUCAUAUAUUCAUCUGUGUCAUAUUUCUGAAUGUCAUAAACAACUUUUGUUCAGUAUUCAUCGGUUAGGCAUUGCAAAAUAGGGUGGAAGCAUGAAAAUAUCGUAGACGAUAAAGAUUAAAAUACCUAAUACACUGUAGUCUGACUACAGUUGCCGAUUUCAAAUUAUUUUCAUACAACGUAACAGAGUGCUUUGCAAGCAGCCACUGAUAAAUGAACACUAUUAUAUUUGGAAAGGCUGUAUCUUCCUGUUUCAGCAUUGUGUAUCAAAUAUAUCAACCUGGGUUAGCGGAUGGACAUAUGAUUGCCCCAAAUUUUUCUUUAUAUAAUAAUUAUCAAGACCAGUCUGGCUACACAAUUACCACAUAGCUUAUAAUUUUUCUGGAGAAACAAGCGCACUUUUUAUUUUGUAUUAUGAUUUCAUUUGUAAAUAUUCAUUCGUGUAAAGUUCCUCCUGUAUGAUUAUUUCUAUGUUUAUAUCUUAUUUCCUCAUUUUUAUGACAUAACAGAGCAUUCCAGAUAAACAAUGCUCCUUAUUAUUUUGUCACAGUGUUAAAGAAGAAUCUUGAAAUAAUCGCGGAUGAAUAUCCAAGAAUUGAAGUUUGAGUGUGAAAAGGACUAAUUUGGGUUAUGGGACUGAUUUUUUCUUGGGGCGAGAUUUGCUUUUGUAUAUUAUUUGUGAAUAUACCUUGAGUGUCCAAUACUUUUCUUUGGUGUAGAAUAUUUUGAUGCUUAUUGUGGGUUGUGGUGUAAAAAGGAGGAUUUUUCACAGCCCAUGAGGUUAUUAUGACAUCAUUAAUGUCACGUUUUCUAAUGUUAUGCCACUUUUUGGACAAUUUAAACUUGUCAAAUUUUAUUCUCUUGUGGUUCAUUUCCAGCGUCGAAAGAAAUCUUAGGCCUUUUCAGGAUAACUUUGAAUAUCAUAGCUUUUUCUUUCAUCAAAAAAUUAAUAAAUAGGGUAAAAGUGUUAAUGUUUAUUUUUUCAAGUUAAACUUCCAAAACUUGGUUCAGCAUCAGGCCUAAAUUUCCUCUACUUUCUAUUUGUAAUUGAUGAGGUUUCUCUGGGAGUUGUUGUAGGCACAUUGAAAAAAUCCUGAAGGCCCAUAUAGUCCUGAGGUACCAGGUUUAGAAACACUGCCUUAGACUCUUUUCCCACCAUUCAAAUUCCAAGCAUACGCCUUGCAUAUUUUGCCCUAACAAGAUUUUUCAGUGUUCUACGUAUUGUUGCCAUCAUUUUUUGUAACAAUGUCUUCAUUCCAAUAUUUUAGUACCAACAAUUUUGCAGUUAUAUGCGUGUUCUUGCCGUUUUGGUUCUUACCGUUCUUUAAUUUGGACACACUGUAAUGUAUAAGCGCAUUAUUCAUUUUAAUAAAAAUGUUCUAAAUUCAAGGCUUUCCCCCGUAUCUCUCAUUGAGGCGUUUUAUCGACUAUACAAAGACAUUAAUAUCCUAACUACUCUCACAGAAAUUACCUGAUCUACACUUGAACUUCUGUUUAUGCACCCAAAGGUUCGAGCAAUCUAGCACGCUUUGAACAAAAGUUAUAUUCUCCCUAGAAUAUGUUCCGAAUUAACUGAUUUCGGCUUUUUAGCACAAGGGUCCGAGUCAUCUAUUUCGCUGUGGGCAAUUACCGAUUAUCUAAUGCCAUGUUUUUCUCGAGAUAAUGCUAUUAUUUUUAAAAACUAAUAGCUGUAAAGUGUAACUGUUUUGCUUUUAAGCAGUAAUAUAUUGUUUGCAUGAAAUUUUCAUUUUAUGUAAUUUUUGUUUUUAAUCAAUAAAAUCUUUGUUUGAAGAUCGUUGGUUGCUCGCACAAUGGUUAAAUAAAAACGCGCUUGUGAUUUGUA